AUAAAUAAAUAAAAAACAUCACAUUAUUAUAUGUUUAUGUUUAAAGUGAUAUAGGUUAACUAAAGAGGGUGAUUUUGAAGUAUAUAAACAUGAGGUGUUACACCUAAUUAUAAAGAUGCACAUGUGGUUGAACCAUUUAUUGGAAGUUUUUUGAAAGAGAAAAUUGAAAAAUAUAAUAGUAAGUUACCUAAUGUUGUCUCCUUAGACAUGGAAUUUAACACUGAGCAGUUGCCCCAUGUUACG
rnacentral:lncRNA from 1 species